rnacentral:rRNA from 1 species
GAUGAACGCUGGCGGCGUGCCUAAUACAUGCAAGCCGAGCGAAUGGAUUAAGAGCUUGCUCUUAUGAAGUUAGCGGCGGACGGGUGAGUAACACGUGGGUAACCUGCCCAUAAGACUAGGAUAACUCCGGGAAACCGGGGCUAAUACCGGAUAACAUUUUGAACCGCAUGGUUCGAAAUUGAAAGGCGGCUUCGGCUGUCACUUAUGGAUGGACCCGCGUCGCAUUAGCUAGUUGGUGAGGUAACGGCUCACCAAGGCAACGAUGCGUAGCCGACCUGAGAGGGUGAUCGGCCACACUGGGACUGAGACACGGCCCAGACUCCUACGGGAGGCAGCAGUAGGGAAUCUUCCGCAAUGGACGAAAGUCUGACGGAGCAACGCCGCGUGAGUGGUGAAGGCUUUCGGGUCGUAAAACUCCGUUGUUAGGGAAGAACAAGUGCUAGUUGAAUAAGCUGGCACCUUGACGGUACCUAACCAGAAAGCCACGGCUAACUACGUGCCAGCAGCCGCCGUAA